AACGAACGCUGGCGGCGUGGAUAAGACAUGCAAGUCGAACGAUUAUCAUCGGGUAGCAAUAUUCGGUGGUGAGAGUGGCGCAAGGGUGCGUAACACGUGGGUAAUUUGCCAUGAAGUCUGGAAUAACUUGCUGAAAGGCGAGCUAAUACCGGAUGUGAUUUUUGGAAGGCAUCUUCUGAAACUCAAAGUCGGGGACCGCAAGGCCUGACGCUUCCUGAUAAGCCCGCGGCCUAUCAGCUAGUUGGUGAGGUAACGGCUCACCAAGGCUAAGACGGGUAGCUGGUCUGAGAGGACGACCAGCCUCACUGGAACUGAGACACGGUCCAGACACCUACGGGUGGCAGCAGUCGAGAAUUUUUCUCAAUGGGGGAAACCCUGAAGGAGCGACGCCGCGUGGGGGAUGAAUGGCUUCGGCCCGUAAACCCCUGUCAUUUGCGAUCAAACCUUACGACUUAACACGUCGUAAGCUGAUAGUAGCGGAAGAGGAAGGGACGGCUAAACUCUGUGCCAGCAG
rnacentral:rRNA from 1 species